AUUGAACGCUGGCGGCAGGCUUAACACAUGCAAGUCGAGCGAGCGGCGGACGGGUGAGUAAUGUCUGGGAAACUGCCUGAUGGAGGGGGAUAACUACUGGAAACGGUAGCUAAUACCGCAUACCAUCAGAUGUGCCCAGAUGGGAUUAGCUAGUAGGUGGGGUAAAGGCUCAACUAGGCGACGAUCCCUAGCUGGUCUGAGAGGAUGACCAGCCACACGGGAACUGAGACACGGCCCAGACUCCUACGGGAGGCAGCAGGGGGGAAUAUUGCACAAUGGGCGCAAGCCUGAUGCAGCCAUGCCGCGUGUGUGAAGAAGGCCUUCGGGUUGUAAAGUACUUUCAGCGAGGAGGCGUUACCCGCAGAAGAAGCACCGGCUAACUCCGUGCCAGCAGCCGCGGUAAUUC
rnacentral:rRNA from 1 species